rnacentral:lncRNA from 1 species
AGUUCGAAAAAUCUUAGUGCAACUAUAGGUGGUUCAUAACCAAUUAUUUCUCUAAAUAACUUCUAGCAAUUAGAUUUUGCCCUAGAUAUCUCUUCAAUAGGCAUGUGGCACCUCCACUAAAAAUCUUGGUUAGGUCCAACCAUUAACAUGACUACACCAAGCACAUCCAACAAAUGAAUGUCUAGAUCUGAGUGUAGCUCGGCCAAUCUGAGCA